rnacentral:ncRNA from 13 species
UGUAUUCUGGUAAAGCACCCAUUUGGGUAUAACCCAAGUAUUGACCUGCCCCAUUAAUAAUUUUCUGUAUAUUGUGCAUUACUGCUAGCCAACAUGAAUAUUAUAUA